rnacentral:rRNA from 1 species
UUAAGUUAGAAAGGGCGCACGGUGGAUGCCUUGACACUAGGAGUCGAUGAAGGACGGGACUAACGCCGAUAUGCUUCGGGGAGCUGUAAGUAAGCUUUGAUCCGAAGAUUUCCGAAUGGGGAAACCCACCAUACGUAAUGGUAUGGUAUCCUUAUCUGAAUACAUAGGGUAAGGAAGACAGACCCAGGGAACUGAAACAUCUAAGUACCUGGAGGAAGAGAAAGCAAAUGCGAUUUCCUGAGUAGCGGCGAGCGAAACGGAACAUAGCCCAAACCAAGAGGCUUGCCUCUUGGGGUUGUAGGACAUUCUAUACGGAGUUACAAAGGAACGAGGUAGACGAAGCGACCUGGAAAGGUCCGUCGUAGAGGGUAACAACCCCGUAGUCGAAACUUCGUUCUCUCUUGAAUGUAUCCUGAGUACGGCGGAACACGUGAAAUUCCGUCGGAAUCUGGGAGGACCAUCUCCCAAGGCUAAAUACUCCCUAGUGAUCGAUAGUGAACCAGUACCGUGAGGGAAAGGUGAAAAGCACCCCGGAAGGGGAGUGAAAGAGAUCCUGAAACCGUGUGCCUACAAAUAGUCAGAGCCCGUUAACGGGUGAUGGCGUGCCUUUUGUAGAAUGAACCGGCGAGUUACGAUCCCGUGCGAGGUUAAGCUGAAGAGGCGGAGCCGCAGCGAAAGCGAGUCUGAAUAGGGCGUUUAGUACGUGGUCGUAGACCCGAAACCAGGUGAUCUACCCAUGUCCAGGGUGAAGUUCAGGUAACACUGAAUGGAGGCCCGAACCCACGCACGUUGAAAAGUGCGGGGAUGAGGUGUGGGUAGCGGAGAAAUUCCAAUCGAACCUGGAGAUAGCUGGUUCUCCCCGAAAUAGCUUUAGGGCUAGCCUUAAGUGUAAGAGUCUUGGAGGUAGAGCACUGAUUGGACUAGGGGUCCUCAUCGGAUUACCGAAUUCAGUCAAACUCCGAAUGCCAAUGACUUAUCCUUAGGAGUCAGACUGCGAGUGAUAAGAUCCGUAGUCAAAAGGGAAACAGCCCAGACCGCCAGCUAAGGUCCCAAAGUGUGUAUUAAGUGGAAAAGGAUGUGGAGUUGCUUAGACAACUAGGAUGUUGGCUUAGAAGCAGCCACCAUUUAAAGAGUGCGUAAUAGCUCACUAGUCGAGUGACUCUGCGCCGAAAAUGUACCGGGGCUAAAUACACCACCGAAGCUGCGGAUUGAUACCAAUGGUAUCAGUGGUAGGGGAGCGUUCUAAGGACAGUGAAGUCAGACCGGAAGGACUGGUGGAGUGCUUAGAAGUGAGAAUGCCGGUAUGAGUAGCGAAAGACGGGUGAGAAUCCCGUCCACCGAAUGCCUAAGGUUUCCUGAGGAAGGCUCGUCCGCUCAGGGUUAGUCAGGACCUAAGCCGAGGCCGACAGGCGUAGGCGAUGGACAACAGGUUGAUAUUCCUGUACCACCUCUUUAUCGUUUGAGCAAUGGAGGGACGCAGAAGGAUAGAAGAAGCGUGCGAUUGGUUGUGCACGUCCAAGCAGUUAGGCUGAUAAGUAGGCAAAUCCGCUUAUCGUAAAGGCUGAGCUGUGAUGGGGAAGCUCCUUAUGGAGCGAAGUCUUUGAUUCCCCGCUGCCAAGAAAAGCUUCUAGCGAGAUAAAAGGUGCCUGUACCGCAAACCGACACAGGUAGGCGAGGAGAGAAUCCUAAGGUGUGCGAGAGAACUCUGGUUAAGGAACUCGGCAAAAUGACCCCGUAACUUCGGGAGAAGGGGUGCUUUCUUAACGGAAAGCCGCAGUGAAUAGGCCCAAGCGACUGUUUAGCAAAAACACAGCUCUCUGCGAAGCCGUAAGGCGAAGUAUAGGGGGUGACACCUGCCCGGUGCUGGAAGGUUAAGGAGAGGGGUUAGCGUAAGCGAAGCUCUGAACUGAAGCCCCAGUAAACGGCGGCCGUAACUAUAACGGUCCUAAGGUAGCGAAAUUCCUUGUCGGGUAAGUUCCGACCCGCACGAAAGGUGUAACGAUUUGGGCACUGUCUCAACCAGAGACUCGGUGAAAUUAUAGUACCUGUGAAGAUGCAGGUUACCCGCGACAGGACGGAAAGACCCCGUGGAGCUUUACUGUAGCCUGAUAUUGAAUUUUGGUACAGUUUGUACAGGAUAGGCGGGAGCCUUUGAAACCGGAGCGCUAGCUUCGGUGGAGGCGCUGGUGGGAUACCGCCCUGACUGUAUUGAAAUUCUAACCUACGGGUCUUAUCGACCCGGGAGACAGUGUCAGGUGGGCAGUUUGACUGGGGCGGUCGCCUCCUAAAGUGUAACGGAGGCGCCCAAAGGUUCCCUCAGAAUGGUUGGAAAUCAUUCGUAGAGUGCAAAGGCAUAAGGGAGCUUGACUGCGAGACCUACAAGUCGAGCAGGGACGAAAGUCGGGCUUAGUGAUCCGGUGGUUCCGCAUGGAAGGGCCAUCGCUCAACGGAUAAAAGCUACCCCGGGGAUAACAGGCUUAUCUCCCCCAAGAGUCCACAUCGACGGGGAGGUUUGGCACCUCGAUGUCGGCUCAUCGCAUCCUGGGGCUGUAGUCGGUCCCAAGGUUGGGCUGUUCGCCCAUUAAAGCGGUACGCGAGCUGGGUUCAGAACGUCGUGAGACAGUUCGGUCCCUAUCCGUCGUGGGCGUAGGAAAUUUGAGAGGAGCUGUCCUUAGUACGAGAGGACCGGGAUGGACGCACCGCUGGUGUACCAGUUGUUCUGCCAAGGGCAUAGCUGGGUAGCUAUGUGCGGAAGGGAUAAGUGCUGAAAGCAUCUAAGCAUGAAGCCCCCCUCAAGAUGAGAUUUCCCAUAGCGUAAGCUAGUAAGAUCCCUGAAAGAUGAUCAGGUUGAUAGGUUCGAGGUGGAAGCAUGGUGACAUGUGGAGCUGACGAAUACUAAUAGAUCGAGGACUUAACCAU